GUUUUCAGAGAUGAGAAUGUGCCUUCGGGAACCGUGAGACAGGUGCUGCAUGGCUGUCGUCAGCUCGUGUUGUGAAAUGUUGGGUUAAGUCCCGCAACGAGCGCAACCCUUAUCCUUUGUUGCCAGCGGUCCGGCCGGGAACUCAAAGGAGACUGCCAGUGAUAAACUGGAGGAAGGUGGGGAUGACGUCAAGUCAUCAUGGCCCUUACGACCAGGGCUACACACGUGCUACAAUGGCGCAUACAAAGAGAAGCGACCUCGCGAGAGCAAGCGGACCUCAUAAAGUGCGUCGUAGUCCGGAUUGGAGUCUGCAACUCGACUCCAUGAAGUCGGAAUCGCUAGUAAUCGUGGAUCAGAAUGCCACGGUGAAUACGUUCCCGGGCCUUGUACACACCGCCCGUCACACCAUGGGAGUGGGUUGCAAAAGAAGUAGGUAGCUUAACCUUCGGGAGGGCGCUUACCACUUUGUGAUUCAUGACUGGGGUGAAGUCGUAACAAGGUAACCGUAGGGGAACCUGCGGUUGGAUCACCUCCUU
rnacentral:rRNA from 1 species